rnacentral:piRNA from 1 species
UCAGAGGACAGCUUGAUAUUCGUGAACUU